rnacentral:rRNA from 1 species
GAUGAACGCUGGCGGCGUGCCUAAUACAUGCAAGUCGAGCGAACGGACGAGAAGCUUGCUUUUCUGAUGUUAGCGGCGGACGGGUGAGUAACACGUGGAUAACCUACCUAUAAGACUGGGAUAACUUCGGGAAACCGGAGCUAAUACCGGAUAAUAUUUUGAACCGCAUGGUUCAAAAGUGAAAGACGGUCUUGCUGUCACUUAUAGAUGGAUCCGCGCUGCAUUAGCUAGUUGGUAAGGUAACGGCUUACCAAGGCAACGAUGCAUAGCCGACCUGAGAGGGUGAUCGGCCACACUGGAACUGAGACACGGUCCAGACUCCUACGGGAGGCAGCAGUAGGGAAUCUUCCGCAAUGGGCGAAAGCCUGACGGAGCAACGCCGCGUGAGUGAUGAAGGUCUUCGGAUCGUAAAACUCUGUUAUUAGGGAAGAACAUAUGUGUAAGUAACUGUGCACAUCUGGACGGUACCUAAUCAGAAAGCCACGGCUAACUACGC